AUUAAAAAAAUGAACUAUACUUUACAAUAUAAUGAGUCUUAUGUAGGCGAAACUCGGAUUCAAAACAUACCAUUGCCAGAUUCAAUUCUGCAAUUGAAAGCAAAAUGCAUCGCAGAAGAUGGCAUUGCAAAGUGGGGUGAGGUUGUAGAGGAACACGUACCUUAUACCACCACUCAAAACAUCAACAAUUUAGCUCAAGCCGAGUUGCUUCUGAACAUAACGGACAACACAAAUAUCGUGC